UGGGGAAUAUUGCACAAUGGGCGCAAGCCUGAUGCAGCCAUGCCGCGUGUAUGAAGAAGGCCUUCGGGUUGUAAAGUACUUUCAGUCGGGAGGAAGGUGGUAAGGUUAAUAACCUUGGCAAUUGACGUUACCGACAGAAGAAGCACCGGCUAACUCUGUGCCAGCAGCCGCGGUAAUACGGAGGGUGCAAGCGUUAAUCGGAAUUACUGGGCGUAAAGCGCACGCAGGCGGUUGAUUGAGUCAGAUGUGAAAUCCCCGGGCUUAACCCGGGAAUUGCAUCUGAUACUGGUCAGCUAGAGUCUUGUAGAGGGGGGUAGAAUUCCAUGUGUAGCGGUGAAAUGCGUAGAGAUGUGGAGGAAUACCGGUGGCGAAGGCGGCCCCCUGGACAAAGACUGACGCUCAGGUGCGAAAGCGUGGGGAGCAAACAGG
rnacentral:rRNA from 1 species